AUUGAACGCUGGCGGCAGGCCUAACACAUGCCAGUCGAGCGGAUGAAGGGAGCUUGCUCCUGGAUUCAGCGGCGGACGGGUGAGUAAUGCCUAGGAAUCUGCCUGGUAGUGGGGGAUAACGUCCGGAAACGGGCGCUAAUACCGCAUACGUCCUGAGGGAGAAAGUGGGGGAUCUUCGGACCUCACGCUAUCAGAUGAGCCUAGGUCGGAUUAGCUAGUUGGUGGGGUAAAGGCCUACCAAGGCGACGAUCCGUAACUGGUCUGAGAGGAUGAUCAGUCACACUGGAACUGAGACACGGUCCAGACUCCUACGGGAGGCAGCAGUGGGGAAUAUUGGACAAUGGGCGAAAGCCUGAUCCAGCCAUGCCGCGUGUGUGAAGAAGGUCUUCGGAUUGUAAAGCACUUUAAGUUGGGAGGAAGGGCAGUAAGUUAAUACCUUGCUCUUUUGACGUUACCAACAGAAUAAGCACCGGCUAACUUCGUG
rnacentral:rRNA from 1 species